rnacentral:rRNA from 1 species
GGGGGAUUUGGGACAAUGGGGGAAAACCUGAUCCAGCGACGCCGCGUGAGUGAAGAAGUAUUUCGGUAUGUAAGCUCUAUCAGCAGGGAAGAAAGAAAUGACGGUACCUGAGUAAGAAACCCCGGCUAACUAC